AUGCCCGGCACAAACUUACUCCUAUCCACUGACAUCGAUUUGGCAGCUAAUAAUGCACUAUUUUUAUAAGCCAGUGGCUGUUGAAAACAAUAUUAUCUGGUAUGGUCUGGGAGCGAUAUAACGAUAGUAAUAUGGAUAAUGCACACGUCAUGUUUAUCGUAUAGAACUAAAAAUCCAGUGACGGGAGAAUUACAUAUCAACUGGAUGGCAUAAAAAAAUGUUUCCUACAGUGGUUGUGUUAAUAUCAGAAGAUGCGAUUUUUUAUCAGAGAUCCAAUAGUGAACGUGUUUCCUUGUUAAUGUCAAAGUAAUGCACAGUGUACUUGUAGACUAUGCUACCAAUUUACCAAACAGUAAUGAACUAGGAUGAAUGUAAGAUACGAUGUGCAGAAUAACAACUGAGUGCUGCUCGUUGUAUUGUAUUAAAACACUUGGAACGAAGUCAAAUAUGUUGAAUGAAAUAGUUUUCGCUCGUGCUCACGUUAUUCGAGCGGCGACCGGUCGAGGAGUGUUGUUUGUGGGCUACCGCUGCGUGAGCCGCGUCACUUACCAUGUCAGCUGCUGGUGGUCGGGAUGUGCCGGAGCUGCUAGGACUGGCACACUCGAUACAUAUAGCUAGCUAGAUACUUACGUAGGAGGUGAUGUCAUCAGCAUAACCGACCGUUUAGGAGGUAAAGGUAUGUUGGCUAAGUAAUAUUAUAAAAUAUGCUCACCACUAACAUAACACCAAUAUAAAUGAUUGCAGACGUGGUCGCGGCAGCGCUUGAUUCAUCUGCCAGGCUCUCAUGACACCCGUUACGCAUUUGAAUGUUACCAUAGUAGGCCAUGUACCAUGUACAUGUACCAUGUUACCUUGACAGCGAAAUUUAGACAAGAAUUAUAAGAUGCUGCAGAAGACUUGGGAAGCAGAGUCGAUGAUACUAAUAUCCCGCUCACCAGAAUCUCCGCCUGAGAUAUGUGUCGGCCAGCUUCGGCUUACGAUCUAGCGCAGUAGCGAGAGCCCGCGUACUAGCGCGCGCACCUGCAGGCUGCCGACCGCCGCGCGCCGCCGCGUGCUCUCCUCCUGACGAGUAUGGAACACUCUAUCUCAUUGCAAAUGAUCUUCGAAGCUUUGUUCUUCUAAUUGUGAUCCAUGGAUUAAUGUUAUGCCCUGAGUGACACCCGCGUUUGUUGGCGGUGCUAGCGGUGCGGCUGGUGUUAAGUAUACACUAUUGAAACAAAGCAACAGUAAAUACACGACAUAUGUCGAUUGUCGAGUAAUAGCAGUAAGCAAAAAGAUAAAUAUGUAGCUUCAAGUCGUACACUCGUACGUAAGUACGUCAGUACUUAUAGUAAUAAAUGUAUUUAAUUUGGUUAGCAUAAUGAUUGUUCAGUCUGUGAAGAUAUAAGCAUAGUAAUGUUUUAGUGGACAGCCUUGAAACAUCGAGGUCGCAAACUGUACGUGUGUGUACGGAAAAUAUAUCGUACCGCUUUUACAAAUAGGUAUUUCUCUCGUGGUCGGCAUUGUCACCAACGUCAGGCUUCGCACAUUGUGUUCAGCACACAAUGUGCGAAGUUGCAAGUACUUCAACACACAGCAGCACCCAAGUAUCGACAUACGUGCGUAACUGUGUUAUGCUCUUGACCGAUUAGUGCCAAUUAUAAUAACAUAAGAUACGACAGCCAUAACUAAAGGCAAGCUCUGCCGAAACUAAAAUACUGUGUUUACUACAUAGAUCUGGCGAUACUUUUUGAAUAGCUCCUCCUACACUUGUGAAUAUAAUAUACUUACUAGAUAAGUCGA